ACAAAGGAGAGGUUCAGGCAGAGCAGCCUUCCAUGCUAUAACAGACCUUCACUCUGUGUGCAGGUAAAGUUGGGUUUCCUUUUACGGUCCCCUACUCUGCAACUAAGUUUGCCUUGGAUGGAUUUUUCAGCUCCCUGAGGCAGGAAUUCCACAUUCAGAACAUUAAUGUUUCCAUCACUCUCUGCAUCCUUGGCUUCAUCGACACUGAACGCGCACUGCACGCCGCCGCGGACGUGCUGCUCGUGCCCGCGGCGCCGCGGGCCGAGUGCGCGCUGGAGAUCCUGAAGGGCGGCGCGCUCCGGUACCGGGAGCUCUAUUACCGGUACGGCUCGACCCGACUGCCGCUGCUGCUGCGCGACUGCGCCGCGGAGCUGCUGGAGAGCAUGGUGCGCAGCCGGUACCGCCUGGACCGCAUCGGACCCGGCCAGCGCCGCCAGAGCCCCGCGGACGGAGCUGCGGGUUCGCCUCACCGGUAGCGCAGGUUCCCGGUGCAACACCCUCCUCUGCCGGCGGACACCGGUCCUGCCUCCGUGCCGUGGGGCUGGAUGGGUUGGGGGUUCCCUUCCCGGUAUUCCCGGAGGAGGGAACACGGGAACAAACUAGUUAUGGAAUAAAAGUCUCUAACCCAACUGUGCGCUCGCUGCGGGGUUUAUCCCUUCUUCUCCACCAGGAUGCCCCUGACGCCUUUCACAGGGAAGCGGCAUCCUUGUGAAAAUCCCUCACUGCUUCAUUUUAAACUACCUUUCAACCUGUUUUUUGCUGGCUUUACGGCCAAAUUAAACGCACUCUGCUACCCAAAUAAAAAUUCCCAAACUUGGUAGAUUAUUACACAAA